UAGAAUUGACCUAAGUAGUUAAAGACUGAUACUGGUGUUACUCGGACUCAAACCGGCGAGUGUAAGACUGAGCCCCAGUAGUUGAAGAACCAAACCACUGCUAGCAAGAAUCAAAUCGGUGAAUCCAAGCCUGUUGCCGGGUUAGUUAGGUCAUAGAGAUCAGAGGCUAGAUCCGAGGAUGGAGAGGCAAGAUCAGAGGCUAGAUCCGGAGCUGGCUUAGUCUCUUAUUGAACGGUGGAAGAAGAAGAGGCUUUUCAAGUCUGUUAGCAGCCCUAGGAAAGUAUAGUUUGGGUGUUGACGGGGUCAGUUAU
rnacentral:lncRNA from 1 species